AAUGAACGCUGGCGGCAGGCCUAAAACAUGCAAGUCGAACUGUAACAGGUCCUUCGGGACGCUGACGGGUGGCGCACGAGUGAGUAAUACAUGGGAAUAUGCCUCUCGGUACGGGAUAGCUUCGGGAAACCGGAAUUAAUACCGUAUGGUCCCUCCGGGGUAAAGAUUUAUCGCCAAGAGAUUAGCCCAUGCUGGAUUAGCUUGUUGGUGAGGUAACGGCCCACCAAGGCUACGAUCUAUAGCUGGUCUGAGAGGAUGAUCAGCCACACUGGAACUGAGACACGGUCCAGACUCCUACGGGAGGCAGCAGUUAGGAAUAUUGGACAAUGGGGGCAACCCUGAUCCAGCCAUGCCGCGUGAGUGAUGAAGGCCUUCGGGUUGUAAAGCUCUUUAGCCGACGAAUAUAAUGCCUGUAGUCGGAAAAGAAGCCCCGGCUAACUUCGUGCCAGCAGCCGCGGUAAUAC
rnacentral:rRNA from 1 species